GUGCACGUGAGUAAUAUGCCCCUGACUCUGGGAUAAGCGUUGGAAACGACGUCUAAUACUGGAUAUGACUACCGGCCGCAUGGUCUGGUGGUGGAAAGAUUUUUUGGUUGGACGAUGGACUCGCGGCCUAUCAGCUUGUUGGUGAGGUAAUGGCUCACCAAGGCGACGACGGGAAGCCGGCCUGAGAGGGUGACCGGCCACACUGGGACUGAGACACGGCCCAGACUCAUACGGGAGGCAGCAGUGGGGAAUAUUGCACAAUGGGCGAAAGCCUGAUGCAGCAACGCCGCGUGAGGGAUGACGGCCUUCGGGUUGUAAACCUCUUUUAGUAGGGAAGAAGGGAGCUUGCUCUUGACGGUACCUGCAGAAAAAGCACCGGCUAACUACGUGCCAGCAG
rnacentral:rRNA from 1 species